UCUGGCUGUGCAAUGUAUAUGGGCUUUGGUUUGCGGUAAUGGAAUCCAAUCCAAAUAAGUGAAAACGCGUUGGUUCUGAUUUUAGGGUUGAAACCCGUUUUCAUCUUCGCCAUUCCAGAGCUACUCUUGAAGAUCGAACCCAACAAUGGAGUUUUUGAAUGAUGAGUAAAAGACGAAGCGUCGGGAAGGAACGAGUAAUGCUUCGUCUUUUCGUUUUCUUCAUUCAUCGACUUUAUGAAAAUUCUUAACUCCAUCAAUGCAAAUCAAGCACAAAGUCUCAUUCAAUGAUCCUUAUCUCUUCAAGACGACGUUCCUCAAUCUAUAAAAAGGCCGGCGGUGUUCUUCCAGUGUCGAGGUGCGUUUGCUCCGAUUCUAGGAUGCUCGAAACAUCAAACGCUGUGGCGAGUUAGAUGGGAUUGGAGCUACACCUCCUUGAAGGUUUUUCCGAUCUUUAAUCGUAUGAUUAUAUUCGUCAUGUUUCCCAGAUCUUCUUUGAAUCUUUUUUUUAUUAUAUAUUUUGAGACCAUUUGUUGAUUAUGCUCUCUGUUCACAAUUUUUUAGUCAACCUUCAUGCCAACUACCGUAAAUUUCCACCGUCUCGCCGCUUUUAGGGACUGUCUCAAGGCUGGUUCAGUGUUCGCACUCUAGCUCCUCUGUUUGUUAUUUGUAGUGGCUUGGGAUUGUUAAUUCUUAAAACUGUUUUGAUUCUUAAGAUUGAAUUUUGGUAGAGGCCAAGUACUCGGGGUGCAGGAUCCUUUUUCAGUGAAGUUCGGAGCGACGGAUCUGGUUUAAUGAGAGGGAACCAGAUGUCAGUGCAUCUCAACAAGAUGGGCCUCUGCUAGAAGUUAAAAGUGCUGGAAAAGGAAAAGACAAACCCAAAGGGCCAAGUGAUGAAGCACUAAAAAUUGUAAUCGCCAGGUUUCCAAGUGGUUGGAUUUUCCAAGUGAGCUUUUGUUUAUGUUUAGAUAAGUUUGUAAAUAUGCUAAAGUUGCAUGAUUUAAUAUGUUUGUGUUUAUAAGCGGUGCUCUUAUAUUGUUCUAUUCUUCCAGUGUGAUAGUUGUGUAUCUUUCCAAGACACUUGAAUUCACUCUGGUUAACGUUUAAUAUUAACAUUUGUUCUUUCUCA